AGAUUAAACUGAAGAGUUUGAUCCUGGCUCAGAUUGAACGCUGGCGGCAUGCCUUACACAUGCAAGUCGAACGGCAGCACGGACUUUGGUCUGGUGGCGAGUGGCGAACGGGUGAGUAAUAUAUCGGAACAUACCCUAGAGUGGGGGAUAACGUAGCGAAAGUUACGCUAAUACCGCAUACGAACUAAGGUUGAAAGUGGGGGAUCUUCGGACC
rnacentral:rRNA from 1 species